rnacentral:lncRNA from 1 species
GGAGGAUGAUGUGGACAUCCCACAAGUUAUAGAACACCACGCAUCGGGUACACAAGCUCAUCUGUAUGAAGGACCAAUUACACUCAGCCAUGCUAAGAAACUCCAACAAGAGGUCCUUGCUUUUCUAACUCAAAUUAACUUCAACAUACGUGUGAAUUUUAUACUACCUAAAUCCUUUACAUUGGUUGUGAUUAGGCACACACAUGAAGAGGAUGGUACUACACUACUUGGAGACGAAACACAACAAAUAGGU